UCGAGGGGUAUAUAGUGCUUGCACUAUAGAGACCGGCGCACGGGUGCGUAACGCGUAUGCAAUCUACCUUAUACAGGGGAAUAGCCCAGGGAAACUUGGAUUAAUGCCCCAUAGUAUCAUUAAGUAGCAUUACUUGAUGAUUAAAGAUUUAUCGGUAUAAGAUGAGCAUGCGUCCCAUUAGUUAGUUGGUAAGGUAACGGCUUACCAAGACAGCGAUGGGUAGGGGCCCUGAGAGGGUGACCGGCCACACUGGGACUGAGACACGGCCCAGACUCC
rnacentral:rRNA from 1 species